rnacentral:lncRNA from 1 species
ACUGAAAGCUUCUGAGAAGUUCAGUAGAACCAACAGGACAAAGUUAAUCUUUCAGGGUGGACAAGAAAGUUUGAGUCCCCUCCAAAAAAGCUAAUCAUGGGUCUGGAUAAACAAACAAUUAGAGGGGCAGAGAUUUGAAAAGAAGAUAUAUGUUAGAUUUUGCAGUUUAGAUAAAACCCAGCCUUUUUCCCAUACCAUAAGUCACUUUGUUUUGUAUGAAAGAAGGAAGUCCAUACUUAAUGCAACUAUUUUGAAAAGAAGGACUUUUUAAAAUAAUACAAAACAUAAGAUGAGAUCCUUAAUGGGAAAAGAUUUUUUUAAAGAAGUAAUUAAAUUAUAUAUAAAAUUUGUUGAAUAAUUACAAAUCAGACAUUUUGGAAAAGCUGAAAUUAAUUCCAUAAAUAGUUUCUACUGAUAUUGUUUUUAAGAGAAUACUCAGUGUUUUCCACUCCUAUUAAGGUAUAGAGCACUGAACAACUGCCUCCCUGGUCCUUUAAGCUGAUAGAAAUCUGAUUGCAAUUGGGACUAUUUCUUGCCACCUGUCUUGAGUUGAAAUUAAUGGAACUCAGCAUUUUCUUUCACAUCUGUAUUAUUCCUAACUUUUUAAUGCUAACAAGAAUGAGGAUGUUGGAAGGAACUUUUUGUCCCCAAUCAUAGCUGAACACUUCUGAACAAAUGUGGCUGAGAAAAUCAUGUGAUAGGUUCACCUUAGGGCCAACAUAGGUCAUAAUGACUUGAAGAAACAAAAUAACAACAAACAAUUAUUUUAAUAAAUAAAUAUAAGUACUAAAGCUUAUCUAUCAUCAACAGAUAGUAAAGUGUGGUAGGGUAGAUAAGUGUGUACUUUCACACCCAGUGUUUCUUAGAAAAGAGGUCAUGAAGGACAAGAUGGGGAUGUAAUUUUACCCUUAGUUCUGUAAAAAUGGAAAAGAGUAAUGAUCUCUUUCUUUGUUUAAAAAGCCAUUCUUAUGGUUUGUAAUUGUUAUUCAGCCAAAUAAUA